UUCCGGUGGCCCCGGCCCCGGCCCCGGCCCCGUGGGUGGGCCCCCCCGGUCUCCAUGGCAACGGCGCCACGUCCGCACGGCCCGCCCCCCCCACCCCCCCCGGCCAUGCUGAGGCUGAAGCACGUCUUCCUCGUCUACUUCGUGGUGUCGCUGCUGGGGCUGCUCUGCGCCCUGCUGCAGCUCGGGCAGCCCUGUGACUGCUCCCGGCUGCUGCGGGGCGCUGAGCAGCGCCUGGCCCAGCUCCAGGCCCAGCUGCGGCGGGGGGGGGGCACCGAGCCGGGGGGGGCGCCGCUGCCGACCAUCUACGUGGUGAC